CCCUUCCUCUUCUUUUCCUUCCUCCACAAGCUUUGCCUCCCAACUACCCCAAUCACUAAAUGGGCAGCCACCCACCUUGGCCAAUCAAGUGAAGAGCUGCCACCACUCCCUCCCUCUAUAAAACCUCAUAGCCGGCCACCCCCUCCUCUCUUUGCUCUCAUUUUUCACUCCCCACUCCUUCCUCCACUCCCUCACACUCCUCUCAUACCUCUUACCCACGAGCUGCUGCUCCUCCCAAGCUCCAUGGCCGGCCAUGGCCAUGGAAAUCCACCUAGAUGAAGCUCCCCUCCUCCCUCAAGCUUCCCCUCACCAUGAGAGCCUCCCUCUCCUUCUUCUCCCCAACCCUAGAUGGUUUUCUCUCCUCUUCUUCUUCCUCCCUUGCUAAGAUUGGAUCUUGAUGCAGGUGCAUGUUGGUCCAAGCAUGGAGAAGCUUGAGCUAUCCUCAGAUCUGAAGUUCUUGAGCAAAAUCCAAAUCGAGUGAUUCAAAGUUCCGCAGAUAGGUAUUGAAAAGAUCUACAACUUGGCAUUGGUCUCAUCCUCAAAUUCGUUACGGAUUUUGCAUGAUCAAGAUCUGGUCAGAUCUGACUUUGUCGAAUUAAACCAGGAGCUUGGAAACGAAUUUUUGAAUGAAACCAAUUGGGAUGUUAUCUACCAGGGGAUAUUUGGUUUAUACCAUGGUGAUACCCGAGAAAGGCAAUUGCUAAGUUGUGAUACUCUCAUACCUUUACUAGAUGCGAACGAUUCCGGAGAAGAAGAAGAAGUGGUUCGGACAAGGAUUUUAUUUAUAUUGACGGGAUUCUUAUAUUGAUGGAGUUGAAGAGGUCCAGGGACAAAUAAGCCAAGGCAAGCCAUCUUUUGAUCUCUGAUAUGAUGUCUCUUUGGAUGUCAUCUUGUGCUAUCAAUAGCAUCUUGGUUCUAUGUGUGAUGAUCUCCAUAUUGUUGUCAUCUAUGCUUGGAUGCAAGCAUGGUACCUCUAGUAGUUUUAUCUUGUCAAGGUCUUGGUAAUUGGUUGGGUGUAUGGUAUCAUGGCCAUUGCUAUCCAACUUGCUUUCUAUAUUUAGCUUGAAUAUGUUCCACCUCGGGACAAGAUUCAUACUACACCCCCUUCUAGUGUAGAUGUAUCAAUACCAUGUUUUUGGUGUAUUCUCAAAUUGUGAUGAGUAUGCCUGUUUUCCCUUAAUGGUGUUGGUGUUGGUCAAUUCUCAUCCCUAUCUAUCUAUUGAUUGGGUUAGAUAGCACCACAAAUCUGAAAGUAUAUUUCCUCUUGUGUUGUCAUAAUACAUGCUUAGCUCAAGCAAGUAUGAUCCACUCCAAUACCUCUUUUUCAUACCCUCAAUGGCGUGAUGACCCUCAUCUCGGCCAUAGUGUUGUAUUAGUUCAACUCAUGAAACUUUAGAUUGGGAACCCCUCAAGGUUUACCUUGUUGUAAAUGUUUAUGAAAACCUUGGGUGAGGCAAUCUUACCCAAGCGUAUGGUUUAUGAAAGGAAAGGAUCUUGACAAAGAUGGUUGGAAAGAGGAAGGUGUGUGUGACUUGGGUUUUUGAGAAAAACGACACAUGGUUCUUUGUAUUCGCCUGGAACA